GACGAACUGUCCAAACGUUGUUCGGAAUCACUGGGCUUAAAGGGCGCGUAGGCGGUCGAUCAAGUCAGGGGUGAAAUCCUGCAGCUUAACUGUAGAAGUGCCUUUGAUACGUGCGUCUCGAGGGAGGUAGGGGUGUGUGGAACUUCCAGUGGAGCGGUGAAAUGCGUAGAUAUCGGGAGGAAGGCCGGUGGCGAAGGCGGCGCUCUGGAACAUUUCUGACGCUGAGGCUCGAAAGCUAGGGGAGCAAACAGG
rnacentral:rRNA from 1 species